rnacentral:lncRNA from 1 species
CCAGCACAUGAACAUCAGAUAGAGCCAGGUUCAGAUUCUGGUUUGGUUUUGUCUCCGCAGGCUCCAGACGCGUCUGCUGAUGGACACACGCCAGACCACCGCACGGCUCUCAGAGAGCGCUACAGGACGCGUUCUGACCUGCCACAGAGUAGACCCGACAGCGCUGAAGAGGAUUCUCCCGAGGAGACGGACGUGUUCUGCACAGACACAGAUGUGACUCUGCCGUCAAGCCUGGCCCGGUCGGAUCAGAGCCGGAGCGCCGCAGCCGUGCACGUGUAUCAGGAGAUGCUGCACAUUUAUGAGAGGCUGCAGGUGAGACUUGCAUCUCUGCAGAGAUGAUCUGCGCGUCAGUCAGGCUUAUUAUAGGAACUA